rnacentral:misc_RNA from 1 species
GAUGAAGAACGUAGCGAAAUGCGAUAAGUAGUGUGAAUUGCAGAAUUCAGUGAAUCAUCGAGUCUUUGAACGCACAUUGCGCCCCCUGGUAUUCCGGGGGGCAUGCCUGUCCGAGCGUCAUUGCUGCCCUCAAGCCCGGCUUGUGUGUUGGGUCUCGUCCCCCUUCCCGGGGGGACGGGCCCGAAAGGCAGCGGCGGCACCGCGUCCGGUCCUCGAGCGUAUGGGGCUUUGUCACCCGCUCUGUAGGCCCGGCCGGCGCUUGCCGAUCAACCAAAACUUUUUUCCAGGUUGACCUCGGAUCAGGUAGGGAUACCCGCUGAACUUAAGCAUAUCAAUAAGCGGAGGA